rnacentral:rRNA from 1 species
UCGGAUGUGAAACUCUGGGGCUUAACCCCAGACCUGCAUUCGAUACGGGCGAGCUUGAGUAUGGUAGGGGAGUCUGGAAUUCCUGGUGUAGCGGUGGAAUGCGCAGAUAUCAGGAGGAACACCAAUGGCGAAGGCAGGACUCUGGGCCAUUACUGACACUGAGGAGCGAAAGCGUGGGGAGCGAACAGGAUUAGAUACCCUGGUAGUCCACGCCGUAAACGGUGGGCACUAGUUGUGGGGACCUUCCACGGUCUCUGCGACGCAGCUAACGCAUUAAGUGCCCCGCCUGGGGAGUACGAUCGCAAGAUUAAAACUCAAAGGAAUUGACGGGGCCCCGCACAAGCAGCGGAGCAUGCGGCUUAUUUCGACGCUACGCGAAGAACCUUACCAAGGCUUGACAUAUACAGGAAUAUGGCAGAGAUGUCAUAGCCGCAAGGUCUGUAUACAGGUGGUGCAUGGUUGUCGUCAGCUCGUGUCGUGAGAUGUUGGGUUAAGUCCCGCAACGAGCGCAACCCCUAUGUUUAGUUGCCAGCACGUAAUGGUGGGGACUCUAGACAGACUGCCUGCGCAAGCAGAGAGGAAGGAGGGGACGACGUCAAGUCAUCAUGGCCCUUACGCCCAGGGCGACACACGUGCUACAAUGGCGCAUACAGCGGGUCGCAAGCCGGUAACGGUAAGCCAACCUCUAAAAGUGCGUCUCAGUUCGGAUUGAGGUCUGCAACUCGACCUCAUGAAGCUGGAAUCGCUAGU